UACAGAAGGCAGGAAAUCCCUGGCUCUUGCUGUGGAAAAUGUGUGCCAACGUCAUGUGGGAUUAAACUGAGAGAUGGAAGGCUUAAAUACCUCCAGCCAAAUGAAACACUUCAGGAUGGCUGUGACAGUCACUCCUGUAAAGUAAAUGAGAAAGGGGAAUUUAUCUGGGAAAGGAGAAUCACUGGCUGUCCUCCAUUUGAUUCCAGAAGAUGUCUGACUGAAGGAGGCAGAAUUGCAAAAAUUGGCAAUACCUGCUGUGACACAUGUGUGGAGGUGGAGUGUCGCCCAGUAAGUGCCAGACUGCAGUACAGGAAUACCAAUGGAUGUGUGGCUGAAAGGGAAGUGCCUAUUUCUCAUUGUGAGGGAAAAUGCAGAAGCAAUACCAGAUACUCUGUUCAGACAGGGAAGUGGGAAGACCUGUGCAGCUGCUGUACAGCCACUCAAACAACUAUAGUUACAAUCCCCCUCUGGUGUGCCAAUGGGACAGUGGUGCAGCAUUACAUCCCGUCUGCCUCUCAGUGUGAAUGCUAUUCUCGCAAGUGCACAGACUGAAUAUUUCCAAGAAGCCCAGUUGUGUAUUCUCAAGUUUUAUGAUGAAGGAACUUUACAGUGCAAGCCUCAUUUUCUCCUUGUAGACCAUUUUAUCCAGUAGAAUCCUGACUAACUAAUUGUAUUAACAUAGCAAAAAAUAAAACUUACUAGCACAACA